rnacentral:lncRNA from 1 species
AAACAUCCGAGUUUCUCUUAGAUUGCUGAGACAGAGAGCUAUUCUGCUCCACCAGACAUCCCAACCGAGGUUCAGCCGUCCGACCCGAACUCCCCGGCAAGUCGCAACAACGGACACCACUCCACUCUCUGUAACAAACUCCACAUGGCCCCACCACUCUCCGACAAGUCGCGACAACGGAUACCACUACUCUCCAUAACAAACUCCACGUGGCCCCGAACGGCCCACUAACAGGCAGUUACGGACGUCGCUGUCAAUCGGUUAUGCUC